UUGGGCUCAAAGACCAAUGGCCCAAUGGCCUGCGUGGAUAAGGAGACGGAUGGAUCUCCUCUCUUCCUCUUCUGUUCAAUAACGCGAAAAGUGGAGAGACGGAGGAACACCGGCGCUCCAAAAGCUCCGCCGCGCCAAAGCUCUUCAUAGGCGGCGGAGGGGCUCUCGAAUACUCACCUCCUACAUCCAACUAAAUCUUCUUCUCUAAUCUCGUCCGAUCAACCAAACCAAAAAUAAAAUGGGAAAGAAGAGAGAUUUGGAGUCCAAAUCACAGGCAUUUGACUCCUUAAACCAACAGCUACCUCGUGGCGAUAAAAUGUACGAAGAGAGAUGAAGCCUAACCAACCUUCGACGAGAAAUUCUUCGGUUACCGACGAACUCGAGAAGAUGACAGAACACCGAAAAUCUUCACGCAAGCUUCCGUUCCGUUAUCCUCUCCCUUUCGCUUUUGUUACGUUCGCUCCGAAUGUACAGGCGCGGUAUACUGAGUUGAGAUUCGGUUUCCGCUAGAAGCGGCAUUUGCAUUCCUUCGUGGGAGCGGUUAUAACAUCGGAGGAUAAGGUUGGAUUGAGGGUGAUGAAGAACGGAAUGAGAGAGGAAAUAAGGUUUUCUCCGAAUAUGGCGAGAGAGUGUAACCAGAGAGUGAAGGUGAUAGCCGGUAACGAAAAAAUGAACCCCUUUCUCCCCUUGUGAUGGUUCACCGUGGGUUCUUGCAUCUUGACGGCACGGUCACUGCGUUUUGGUUAAGCCUGUUGUGCGUUGUUUAAGCUUGGACAGUGUAAUGACUUCGAGCGUAUCGACUUUGUAUUCACUGUGUUUCCCUACUACGGUUUUUUGGAUUAUAUAGCUUUAGUAGCUGCAGUUGUAGCAGCUGGUGUUGUUUUUGUUUGUAGCAGCUUGGCGCGGCUUCGUGUUUCCGUUUCUUGGACUGUUAUAGAUGUCGCUGUUUAGUGCAGCUUAUGGUGGCUUUGUGUAGCAUUUUCUGUUUUGCCAUUUUGCACUGUGUUAUGUUUCCGUUGGCCGCAACUUUGGUUUGCUGUUUCGGUUGCAUUUAAGUUGUUUUUGUAGCAGCUGAUGGCUAAUUACUUUUUAUUUUA